AGAGUUUGAUCCUGGCUCAGAGCGAACGUUAGCGGCGGGCCUAACACAUGCAAGUCGAACGAGAAAAUCCCUUCGGGGGUGAGUACAGUGGCGCACGGGUGAGGAACGCGUAGGUAAUCUACCGUUUGGCGGGGGACAACACUCCGAAAGGAAUGCUAAUACCGCGUAAGGCCACGUUCACUACGGUGAGAGUGGUAAAAGGUGCCUCAAAGCACCACCAAACGAUGAGCCUGCGUCCCAUCAGCUUGUUGGUAAGGUAAUGGCUUACCAAGGCUAAGACGGGUAGCUGGUCUGAGAGGAUGAUCAGCCACACUGGCACUGGAACACGGGCCAGACUCCUACGGGAGGCAGCAUUGAGGAAUAUUGGGCAAUGGGCGAAAGCCUGACCCAGCCACGCCGCGUGUGUGAUGAAGGCCUUCGGGUCGUAAAGCACUGUGGGGAGAGACGAAAAAGCGCAGCAGGAAAUGGCUGCGCCUUGACGGUACCUCCUUAGCAAGCACCGGCUAACUCUGUGCCAGCAGCCGCGGUAAUACAGAGGGUGCGAACGUUGCUCGGAUUUACUGGGCGUAAAGCGCGUGUAGGCGGACUCGCAAGUCGGUUGUGAAAUCCCUGGGCUUAACCUAGGAACUGCAUCCGAAACUGCUUGUCUUGAGUAAUGGAGAGGGUGGCGGAAUUCCCGGUGUAGAGGUGAAAUUCGUAGAUAUCGGGAGGAACAUCAGUGGCGAAGGCGGCCACCUGGACAUUUACUGACGCUGAGACGCGAAAGCGUGGGGAGCAAACAGGAUUAGAUACCCUGGUAGUCCACGCCGUAAACGAUGAGAACUAGGUGCAGCGGAUAUUGACCUCUGCUGUGCCGUAGCUAACGCGUUAAGUUCUCCGCCUGGGGAGUACGGCCGCAAGGCUAAAACUCAAAGGAAUUGACGG
rnacentral:rRNA from 1 species